UGGUUUUUAUGCAUGGAACAGAAAAGAUGACAAGGUGAAAACAAAUAUAUCAUCAUUGAAUAUAUUCAGUCCAUGCUUCAAUUGCAAAAGGAAAUCGAUAGGGGAUUAUAGCAGUGGCAUGGAUGCGAGCUCAACAUAUAUCAAGAAGAAGUGAGAAAGAUUAUUGCAAAUAUACAAAAUUGGCAGGAGUUCAUGUUUUAAGAAACAAAAUCAUUAUACAAUAUGAAACUAUAAAGUGUCCAUAAUAACUGCACGCUUCCCUGAUAAUUUGCUAGCUUUUUUUUUCCCCAUAGAAGCAUAUUAUCCUUCUCAUGACUCACUUUUGGUUGGUUACCAAAGAAAUGAACCCGUAUGAAUCAACUACAAGCAACUCCAUUCAUAAAUCAUAAUGAAAACAAUGUUCAAUGACUAAAUAAUUUCAUUAGUAAAUUAAACACAGGUUCCAUUCUUUCGAAUGUGAAGGCCUACCGGAUACCUCAGAGGCUAAAUCCUCGCUAUCUCAAUGAUAUUCAUCUCAUGUAUAUAACCAUAAUAACCAUAUGUAUGCCACUAAAACUACCAAAUCCUGCAAAUGGAGGUUACAACUAAGCUAAAAUCAAUUGCUAAGAAAGGAUAAUGUUGAAACAAAUGAAAACAGUUGUCAUGAGCUCAGAGAUUAGACGAAUAGUGAUGAGCUACUAGCAGCAACCGAUGUAAACCAACAAGAAUAAUGCAUUAAGCCAAGAAAAUUAAUAGUUGAGCCAGCAGUAUUUUGAAACACACAACAUCAUAACAGCAACAACUAUAUUAAUUUGAAAGAUCGUACUCUAACUCUAAAACCAUAGAAGCCCUAUGCCUAAGCAUCAAGUUCAAGAAUAAUAGAAUAGUAUCCUGUGACUUGUAACAAGUUUCAAGAUUCAUAGCUAAAAGGCAGCAUAUAUGAAUUUGUCAUUCCAUUCCUUCUAAUAAGCUAAACUGCAUACCGUAAAAUUAAGCAACUUGAAGUGGAAACUAAUACAUAGUUGCAACUUAACAGUUCGGAAAAAAUUCAAUUUUUUCUGUGAUACACGAAAUUUCAGCGCUCUAUCUCAGACAUGAAUGAUGAAUCUAAAUAA